rnacentral:rRNA from 1 species
UACAGAGGUGGCAAGCGUUGUUCGGAUUUACUGGGCGUAAAGGGUGCGUAGGUGGUCAUCUGUGUCGGGUGUGAAAGCCCACGGCUCAACCGUGGAAUGGCAUUCGAAACUGGAUGGCUAGAGUGCAGGAUGGGAGAGCGGAAUUCUUGGUGUAGCGGUGAAAUGCGUUGAUAUCAAGAAGAACACCGGUGGCGAAGGCGGCUCUCUGGAAUGCAACUGACACUGAGGCACGAAAGCUGGGGAAGCAAACAGG